rnacentral:rRNA from 1 species
CGAGGAUUCCCAUAGUAACGGCGAGUGAAAUGGGAAAAGCCCAGCGCUGAAUCCAUCGAUCACUGGUCGCUUGGAAUUGUAGCGUAUAGGUGCGGCUGUCCGCUCGUUUCGUGCACCCAAAGUCCCCUUGAGCGGGGCCAUAGUCCAAAGAAGGUGCUAGACCUGUACGGGUGGCGAGACGGUCGGUUGGUCGCUCCUUGGAGUCGGGUUGCCUGGGAUCGCAGCCCAAAGUUGGUGGUAGACCUCAUCUAAGGCUAAAUAUGGCCACGAAACCGAUAGCAAACAAGUACCGUGAGGGAAAGUUGCAAAGAACUUUGAAGAGAGAGUUCAAGAGGGCGUGAAACCGCCGAGAUUGAAACGGAUAGAGUUGACGAAACUCGAUCGCAUUCAUCCGAUCCGCCUAGCGGUUCGGCGGUUGUUGACUUCCUCGAUGAGGGCAACGCCGUCGCUGGCUGUUGGGUGUUAGAUGGGUGUAUUUGCGGUCGGUAUGCGCCGAGAGCUUUGCGAACGCAUGUUGGCGUUGAUGUAGUGGACCACUCCCUCCGGGCGUGGAACCCUGCACUGACYGAGGCAUGUCGUUUGUAGGGUGUUGCUGGUUGACGUCUCCGCUAUGGUGCGUCGGCUUUGUCGGACUGUUGUGGCUACUGGGUGAUCGCAUGCGAGCGCCUGUGGUUUAUGAUCGUACGAUGAGGUGCAGACGCGCUUGAGACGUGCAUCUCGGUGUGAACGUUGACCACCUAUCCGACCCGUCUUGAAACACGGACCAAGGAGUCUAGCAUAUGCGCGAGUCAUUGGGUGGUAAACCUAAAGGCGUAAUGAAAGUAAAGGCUGUCUUGUUACGGCUGAUAUGGGAUCUGUGUGGCUUUCGAGCCAUACGGCGCACCAUAGCCCCGUCCCGGUUGCUUGCAAUGGGGCGGAGGUAGAGCGCAUACGCUGGGACCCGAAAGAUGGUGAACUAUGCCUGAGCAGGAUGAAGCCAGAGGAAACUCUGGUGGAAGUCCGAAGCGGUUCUGACGUGCAAAUCGAUCGUCUGACUUGGGUAUAGGGGCGAAAGACUAAUCGAACCAUC